GUAGGUGGCAAGCGUUAUCCGGAAUUAUUGGGCGUAAAGCGCGCGUAGGCGGUUUUUUAAGUCUGAUGUGAAAGCCCACGGCUCAACCGUGGAGGGUCAUUGGAAACUGGAAAACUUGAGUGCAGAAGAGGAAAGUGGAAUUCCAUGUGUAGCGGUGAAAUGCGCAGAGAUAUGGAGGAACACCAGUGGCGAAGGCGACUUUCUGGUCUGUAACUGACGCUGAUGUGCGAAAGCGUGGGGAUCAAACAGGAUUAGAUACCCUGGUAGUCCACGCCGUAAACGAUGAGUGCUAAGUGUUAGGGGGGUUUCCGCCCCCCUUAGUGCUGCAGCUAACGCAUUAAGCACUCCGCCUGGGAGUACGACCGCAAGGUUG
rnacentral:rRNA from 1 species